rnacentral:sRNA from 1 species
GUGCGUGCAAGUGCUGCGAACCACGUGGGUCCCGGGCGCGUUUCGGGUGCUGGCGGCUGCAGCCGGAGUUCAAACCUAAGCAGCUGGAAGGGACCAUGGCCAACUGUGAGCGUACCUUCAUUGCGAUCAAACCAGAUGGGGUCCAGCGGGGUCUUGUGGGAGAGAUUAUCAAGCGUUUUGAGCAGAAAGGAUUCCGCCUUGUUGGUCUGAAAUUCAUGCAAGUAAGUGGACUUCAUUGUUCCCAUUUUGAUUCCUUCAUAGUAUAGGAGAACACUGUGAUUAACCUGUUUCUCCCCGUCUUUCUUAUUUAAAGUUCUCCACGGUAGAGUGAACACAAGUGUCUUGAGACCUGGAAACUCCUCAGUGCCCUAGCGUUUGGCUACAUCUUGGAACAAACCAAGUUAUUUAGGAUUUUCCAAAAUAGUCUCUGUAAUAGGAGGUGCAUUGCUACGGGGAAAGCAGUGCAGAGUUCCACAUAUGACUGCAUCUCUGUAAUUUCUGACUGAGAGCUGAGCAUGUUUGAGUUCUUGGUCUUGAGCUUCCUGAGCAGAUAAUUUUAGAGAGAUUUUUUUCCCCCUUUGAGACAGGUUGUUUUUUUAGCAAGAAAGUCUUUCCAUCAUCAAUUACUAGACACUAAUAAAUGCUUAUUAUUUAGCAUAUAUUACGUAUCAUAGGAGCUUGUGGAGGAAAACUAUGGUUUUGGUUUUGGGGAGGUUCUUCUGAAAUAGCAGAGAGCAGACGUACCUGCAAGCUACUUACAAAGCAAUCUUUUGAUAAAUGCAAAGGAUUGACUGACCAAUAACCCUUCUUCAAACAAAUUCUAGAGAUAAUCCAAAUUCUCGGCUGGGUGGGGCGUAGUGGCUCAUGCCUGUAAUCCCAGCACUUUGGGAAGCCAAGGCGGGCUGGUCACUUGAGGUCAGGAGUUCAAGACCAGCCUGGCCAACAUUGCGAAACCCCGUCUCUACUAAAAAUACAAAAAUUAGCCGGG